UUUGAUCCUGGCUCAGAAUCAACGCUGGCGGCGUGCCUAACACAUGCAAGUCGAACGCGGUUACCCCGCAAGGGGUAACUGAGUGGCGAACGGGUGAGUAACACGUGGGUGACCUACCUUCGAGUGGGGGAUAACGUCCCGAAAGGGACGCUAAUACCGCAUGACAUCCUGCCUUUGAAUAGGUGGAGAUCAAAGCUGGGGAUCGCAAGACCUAGCGCUUGAAGAGGGGCCCGCGCCCGAUUAGCUAGUUGGUGAGGUAACGGCUCACCAAGGCGACGAUCGGUAGCCGGCCUGAGAGGGCGGACGGCCACACUGGGACUGAGACACGGCCCAUACUCCUACGGGAGGCAGCAGUGGGGAAUUGUCCGCAAUGGGCGCAAGCCUGACGACGCA
rnacentral:rRNA from 1 species